rnacentral:tRNA from 5 species
GGCCCUUUAGCUCAGUUGGUUAGAGCAUACGACUCAUAAUCGUCAGGUCCCCUGUUCGAGUCAGGGAAGGGCCACCA